GGAUAUAGGUUUUUUCUUUUAUAGGGCUAAUUAAUCAGGGAUCUGAAGGAAGAUCAUUCAAAUUAAUUUUCAAACGAGCUUGCUUUGAAGAACUUUGCUCAUUUUCUCUUGCUGUAGCUUCAUUGUUAUCAGAGGAUUCUUUUGAUAAUUGAUCGUAUGAGAAAAUUAUCCUUAACUCUGACUACAAAAUCUUUUUAUUACAAUAGAAACAUUGAAUUAAUCUUAUAAUAUAUAUAUCUAAUUUUCACACCAAUUUUAGAUGGCUACAUAGAUAAUUAAAAAUUGAAAAUAAAAUAGCAUG
rnacentral:misc_RNA from 1 species